CUUCUACAAAAAUGAUCGAUGCAAAACAGAUCGCUUCGAUAAAAUGAGAAAUUGCAUGAAAAAGCUUAUACCGUUGUCCGUUACCGAAAAAAAUACUUGUAUCUAAUCUAAUCGCAAUGAGGUCAUGUUUUAAUAUUUAAGAUUGUCAAUUCUUGUCGAACAGAUUUUAACUGUGCUUUAGUUUUAAGCCACUGUUUCUCCGCGAAAAAUUCCUAUGUUGCUUGGUAUUGAAUUCUUGUAGCAGUUUCGUAACUUUUAUUCACCAACAACCAACUAACUAGUUUGAAAAUUUAUGCAAAAUUAUUCCGAAGGAGAGAAAAAAAAUAUCUCAAAAUACAUUCGAUUCAAGACUAUACAGUUAGAGGAAUGCAAAAACUGAUCUUUUAGGUUGUGCGAAACAAGACUACAAUGAUGAUGCUGACUUUGGGAAUGGUGAUGAUGAUGUACCCAGCACAUGUUAUGUAUAUAUGAAUUGAUAACGAAAUUAUCUACUAUCUACGCGAAAAGGAAAGCAGGCUCUAUAUCUGAAAGUAAAGCAACGGGAAGGCGACAUGAUGGCAAAAUAUCUCUUUAGAUGUUAGCUUAUAAGAUAAUUAUUAUUUUUCUAUAAAUAAAUGUGGUAUAACUUCAUAUCGUUUCUAU